GACGUAGGGCGCGAGCGUUGUCCGGAUUUAUUGGGCGUAAAGAGCUCGUAGGCGGCUUGUCGCGUCGUCCGUGAAAACCUGCAGCUCAACUGCAGGCUUGCGGUCGAUACGGGCAGGCUAGAGUUCGGUAGGGGAGACUGGAAUUCCUGGUGUAGCGGUGAAAUGCGCAGAUAUCAGGAGGAACACCGGUGGCGAAGGCAGCUCUCUGGGACGGUACUGGACGCUGAGACGCGAAAGCGUGGGGAGCGAACAGG
rnacentral:rRNA from 1 species